AGCCCAUUCUCAUAAUAUUUAAGGUGCAAAGAAAUCCCACAUGCAGACAGCCAACAAGGGGAAAUCAAAUGGUGAUCCAAGUCUGUAACUCUCACACCAUGCACCAAGCAAAUCCUAUAAGCUUCUUUACAUGGAGAAAAAUUCUAUGUAGAAAUAUUAGAUAAAAUGAACUAAGCGAAAGAAAAUUUUUAAUUAACAGGAAAAAGAAAAAAAAAGGAAGACUCCAGCAAUUGAUGACACAAAGAAAAAGGAUACU
rnacentral:misc_RNA from 1 species